rnacentral:tRNA from 1 species
GGGCGAUUAGCUCAGCGGGAGAGCGGCUCCUUUACACGGAGAUGGUCGGCGGUUCGAAUCCGUCAUCGCCCA